rnacentral:rRNA from 1 species
GCUAAUACAUGCAAGUCGAGCGGACCGACGGGAGCUUGCUCCCUUAGGUCAGCGGCGGACGGGUGAGUAACACGUGGGUAACCUGCCUGUAAGACUGGGAUAACUCCGGGAAACCGGGGCUAAUACCGGAUGCUUGAUUGAACCGCAUGGUUCAAUCAUAAAAGGUGGCUUUUAGCUACCACUUGCAGAUGGACCCGCGGCGCAUUAGCUAGUUGGUGAGGUAACGGCUCACCAAGGCGACGAUGCGUAGCCGACCUGAGAGGGUGAUCGGCCACACUGGGACUGAGACACGGCCCAGACUCCUACGGGAGGCAGCAGUAGGGAAUCUUCCGCAAUGGACGAAAGUCUGACGGAGCAACGCCGCGUGAGUGAUGAAGGUUUUCGGAUCGUAAAACUCUGUUGUUAGGGAAGAACAAGUACCGUUCGAAUAGGGCGGCACCUUGACGGUACCUAACCAGAAAGCCACGGCUAACUACGUGCCAGCAGCCGCGGUAAUACGUAGGUGGCAAGCGUUGUCCGGAAUUAUUGGGCGUAAAGCGCGCGCAGGCGGUUUCUUAAGUCUGAUGUGAAAGCCCCCGGCUCAACCGGGGAGGGUCAUUGGAAACUGGGGAACUUGAGUGCAGAAGAGGAGAGUGGAAUUCCACGUGUAGCGGUGAAAUGCGUAGAGAUGUGGAGGAACACCAGUGGCGAAGGCGACUCUCUGGUCUGUAACUGACGCUGAGGCGCGAAAGCGUGGGGAGCGAACAGGAUUAGAUACCCUGGUAGUCCACGCCGUAAACGAUGAGUGCUAAGUGUUAGAGGGUUUCCGCCCUUUAGUGCUGCAGCAAACGCAUUAAGCACUCCGCCUGGGGAGUACGGUCGCAAGACUGAAACUCAAAGGAAUUGACGGGGGCCCGCACAGCGGUGGAGCAUGUGGUUUAAUUCGAAGCACGCGAAG